UCUUUCAACCUAGACGUCAGUUACUGGGGCCCUACCGACAGAUAGGCGGAGAGAAGGUGCAAAACUGGACUUGAAGUAGGGAGAGGCACGAACAAUCGGGAUAUGUCGCACAAGCUUUGUCAUUCUUAGUUUACAUCUACACUACAACCAGACAUAUUCUCCGGGUUCUCGUUCCAUUAUGAAGCCAUUGGCGGAAUACGAACACUUCCAUCUGCAAAAAAGGCAACUUUUUCCAGAAAAUACUACUUCACCACUACAGCCAUGAAUCACAACGUUUAGGUACUGAGUUUGUAUCAUGCAUGUCCGGGGUGGCCAUUGCCUUCCCACAAACGUGAUAUCUGUCAGUAGUUUCCGCACGUGCAUCUCAGACAUUGUGAACUCCCUUAAUGGCGAACUCCUCCAUGUGAAAUUCUGCCACGAUGAAUUCCGGUAUACGGAACUCUGCCACGUUAAAGCGCGUUAUCAUUAGAGAUGGUUCACUUUGUGGAGUUCGUUCGCCAUGGUGAAGUUUACAGUGGCGGAAUUUAUCACUGGCUUGCUACGACUGACAUUCACUGGCGAAAAAACUUUGUUGGUGAUCGCUGUGGAGGAAAACAAAUGAAACCAGGAAUAACAAUUACACAACGGUCAUACUUGCGCGAGCACCUUGUACUUAUAAAUGAUCAAAUAUGCCCCUUAUGAUGAUUCAGAUUUGCAUUCUCUAUAACUUGAAAAUAAGUAUCAAGACAAUACUACAUUAUUGUCAUUCGAAUUUUGUUUGGUCUUUCAAGGGUUUUUCUAACCGCUACAGGGAAUGUUAUCCCCAGUACUAUUAUUAUGGUGUUCGUAGUGGUUUUGCGAGGGAAGAAGUUGCCAAGAUGUAUUUGAGCAGUUCCCUCAAAACCUGGGAAAUUUUUACCUAACCGGAAAAGAAAAAGAUACUAAAGGAAAGACUUCUCCAAUUUUAAAAAAGGCACCAACUUCUGGAAUAGAGUGAAAGCCGACGGCUAAGACAGCAUGGACAGGUGACUCACAUCUGCAAAUGCUAAAGUACGAAGCUAACCAAGACAUCCAAUAACCAAUGAUACUGGCAAUGAAGAAGCAACACACAUCUAGCAUGUUUUCAUAUCCACUUACGUAAAUAACCUUCAUGAUUUUCUGCUGUGUAAUCCCUCGAAUUGUACGUUUAACAUAAUUCAUUUUUUGAUCUCGUCUGAUGAGAGGCUAAGAAUUAACUGAUGUAUGUGGAAACUUAAAGUGAACAGGAUCUGAGAAUGAGCGAGAAACUAGGCAUUUUCAAUUGAAGUCGGGUGACGUGAAUCAGUGCCUUAGGCACAUGGAACAAUAAGGGAUCAGUUUUCCCCAACUUGACUUUGGUCACUUGAUCAUUAAAGGAAGUUAGUGGAGUUUCAGCCUAACUCACCUCUUGCAACCACCCUGGAUUUGAAGUAGCCAGCUUCUAAGGACUCGGGUAAGCCCUUCUCCUCCUCAACUGUCUUCUUCAAAACCAUAGAUGGCAGGCAAGGUAGGAGUCUUAGACAUCACCAACACUUUUCAACGAUCUCCCAAACAAAGUCUCAUUGCGGACCACCGUGACGAGAAAUGCAUUCAGUUCUUCUGAUUAAAAGUAAUUUUCCUUCCUCCUUGUCUCUGUUUAGCAAUGACGUAGUCCUCGCCUGUGAAAUAUUGGUAAUUUUCAUUUUUCAAGCGCUAGUUAGUAAGUAGUUAUGUAAAACAGAAAAGAGAUG